UGCAGUUGUGCGAAUUCAAAACGACAGUGCAUGCAUGUUGAUGUGGUGAGAAAUUCGUCCGGAAGAUACAGUUUGCGGAGAGGAAAACGCAUUGAAACAGUUGUAAAGGUGUGAACGUGGUGAUUGCUUUCAGUUCCCUUCCUUUUUAUUUCAUCGGGACAGCCUGAACAUGGCUAGCAAAAGCCAUAAAGGGACGAUAGGUGCCUGGUAUGAGGCUGGCGCUCAUGAUUUCCGGGAAUUGGAACAAAAAGUACAACGAGGUGAUCGGCUGGAGUUCUACCGCGGUAUAUACGCCCACUGGGGUAUAUACGUCGGUGCGUAUGAUGGAAUCGAGCACGCUGUCAUCCACUUCGGUAUGAUCGACGGUGGGAAGGGGUUCGCCAAAAAGAAAACGUUAGGCAUGGCGGAUUAUGCGACCAGCAAGCCCGAGGUACGAGCCGACUCCAUUCGGGCGGUGCUUGGCGAUUCGGGCAAAGUGAGAAUCAACAACUCAAAAGACGAGGAGAAAAAAACCUUUUUCGGCGGACAACAUCGUUGAAAAAGCAAAGACAAUGCAUCGAGAGAAAGUCCAUAUUGACUACGAUCUUCUCGAACGCAACUGCGAGCACUUUGUGAAUCUCUGCCGGUACGACGACCCAACAAGCGAUCAGGCUGACAUGUUAAGAGAGGCUGCUGGCCCAGCAGGUGAAUUUGUGGCAAGAGCGGUGGCAUCAACGUUUCUUCAAUAACAGUGAUUCUGGGAUUCAAGCAUGUGGAGUACAGUUUGUGCUUGUGGAAGUGUACACAGUGAAGUUUAGUUUCGUCUCUCAUGAACAGCAAGCACUAAUGGUGCGAAUUUGUGCCGUGAACUUGAGAUGGGGGGUGGGAGAUUAUAGAGAGGGUGACUUGAUCGGCAGUGGAAAUUUGAAAAGUUGGGGUGGGAGUGGAACAGACAUCAUUUUAAACCAACAGUUUUUUUAAUUUCUUUAUCAAAUGUUUUACUUUAGAAACCAACCACAUUGUUGAACUACAAAUUGAAGAAUUUAACAAUAAUGAAUGGCACCUUUUGAUAUUUUCUUAAUUUCAUAUUAUAUAUUUUCACAAGGGCCAUAUAUGACUCAACAGGGCAAAUAGAAAGGUUUCUUUUAGAAAAAUAGAAUCCUAUUUGUAUUUUUAAAAAUUAGGACGCUAUUUUCUUAAAAUAGGAUGCUGUUUUUAAAAAUAGCAAGCUCUUUAAAAAAAAAUAGGAUGUAAUGCUACGGCAGUGCUUUCAUUAUCUUAAAUGUCACUUUCAAGAAACACAACACAUGUACAUUGUACCAAGAUUAUGAACUGAUUUUGAGUGAAUUUGAGCUUAUUAUCGCACACCCACUUACAAGUCAGUCUUCUUUGACUUUACAAGAGUCAAUUUAGCGCUAUGGUGCAUGCAUGUACAAUAUUCGUGCCUCAGAAAAGUUACACGUAGACCCUAUUAGGCUCACUUUGAUUUUCAAUAUCAUAUCUUGAGAGUCUUUAAUGUAAAUAUUAAUAACGCCACAGUCCUCAAAAUUAAUAGCCAUACAGAAAAAGGCUUGCAGGUACAUUACAUGUAAUUAUAAUUUCAAUCUCUCGGCUGAGCUUGCCUUGCUGGCACCAGGCUGUGGGCUUACAUGGUUUGUAGUGUUGUUUCAGAUCAUGAAGCCCUUGCACGGUUCAGAUCCUUACAACAUGUACAUGUAUACGCUUUGUGCACAUGAAAAAUUCUGCAAAAUGUAUCGCAGGACAGUAAAUGCAUGUACGGGGUAUAUAUAGGUGCAAACUGCAUAUAGAGAAGACUAAGAUUCCUGCAUGCAAACUAAAAAAAAUAUAAAGUCAAAAGCUAGGGUAUUUAUAAAAUAUAAGAUUUUUAAAUUAAUUUGUAUCUUUUUGUUUAUUACGGCAUUUAUACAAAAGUGUAUGUUAUCAGAUGUCAUUAUCACUUCCUUGUGAUGUAAUAGUGCAUUUUGUUCAUUGAUGGUCAACAUUGUGUCGGCCCGUCUUGGACAAAUUCGAUCAAGACUUUGAAAACGUAUGUUUUGGAGAGAUAGGAAUAAAGUCGCUUACAUUAACGUUACAUUACAUUAACGUUGCGAGCGUUUAUCUACCCACAGUGGAUGGACUCUAGAUUGUAUCAGGUUUGCGCCAGUGAGGAUCCUGUCUUCUAAGGUUAGAUUAGCAUAUUCUUUGUUAAUAAUCACAAAUAUCCCUUUAUUAAGUUUUUUCCUUUAAGUUUGAAACAGUUUUAAGCAUUUGAAGCAAGAUGUGGAACGGAGAGACCCCCCCUUUGGGUUGGUCAUUGUUAGGGGGAUGCGUUGGGUUACAAUUUUCUCGUGUAAAGGGAUUGAACAGGUAAGGGGGGGUACCCCUCCGUCCCAUAUCUUGCAUGAUGUAGUUUUAAGACAGUUCAACUUGUCUUGGUCCCCUGGUUUCAAUUUUAGUUUGUAUGUAAAGACUACCACAAAUCAUUUCGCAACUUAGCAUACAUUGGUGUCUAUUAAUUUUUAAGUAAAUUAACGAAAAAUAAUUGCGAAUUGUAAUUAUUCUAAAGAAAAACGGCAAGCUGAUGUCAGUUUGGUAAUCAGGGCGUCGGGGAAUGUGUGUGCGGGAUUGGCCACCGAAGCUUGAUGGGCUUCUUAAAAAGGAGAUGCACUGUAUAUUAAUGUGCAGUUAUUGGAAACCUUCGCAGCUUCAGAUUCCGUUUACAGUUAAUGUUAUGACAUGCAGGAACGUUUAUAAUGUGGUAGAUGAUUUUAAACCUAUAUGAAUAGACAGAGGAAAUGUGCCCUUUCUGAUGACACCACGUUUGCUAGAUUUAGAUAAUUCUGAGACCUUUUAUACUCGGAUAUAUGGACCAUUCUCUGUGCGAAACAGGACCCUACAUGGCGCGAUGCCAGAACUACGCAAGAAUAGGAGGCAGGCUUACAACAACUCACAUUUCCUUUUACAGAUAAUUCCCUAACUACUCCAAAUAUGUAUAUAAAAUUUAUAUGAAUAGAGAGAGGAACAUGCGCCCUUUCAGAUGACACCAAUUGUUAGCUAGAUUUAGAUAAUUUUGAGACUUUUUAUACUUGGAUACUUGGACCCUUCUCAUUCCAAAACAGCACCAGAUAUAGCGCAUUGCCAGAACUACGCAAACAUAGGAGGCAGUCGGACGAGAACUCACAUUUCCUUUUCCAAGUAAUCCGCUACCUACUGCAAAUAUGGAUAUUAAACCUAUAUGAAUAGA